GUUUAUGUUUAUUGAAUAGUUGUGUGCCUGGCUAAGGAAGAUGGUGAAGUUGACUAUGAUUGCUCGUGUAACUGAUGGGCUUCCAUUAGCUGAGGGGCUGGAUGAUAGCCGUGAUGUUCCAGAUGCAGAUUUCUACAAACAGCAAGUCAAGUCCUUAUUCAAGAACCUCUCUAUGGGCCAUAAUGAGGCAUCAAGGAUGUCCGUUGAAACUGGACCUUACAUUUUCCAUUAUAUAAUUGAAGGACACGUUUGUUAUCUGACUAUGUGUGAUCGCUCUUAUCCAAAGAAACUUGCCUUUCAGUACCUGGAAGACUUAAAAAAUGAGUUUGAGCGUGUCAAUGGGAAUCAAAUUGAAACUGCUGCUAGACCAUAUGCUUUUAUCAAAUUUGAUACAUUCAUACAGAAGACGAAGAAACUGUACCAGGAUACCAGAACUCAACGCAAUGUUGCAAAGUUGAAUGAUGAACUUUAUGAAGUUCAUCAGAUAAUGACUCGAAAUGUACAAGAAGUUCUUGGUGUUGGUGAAAAAUUGGACCAGGUCAGUCAGAUGUCCAGCCGCUUGACAUCAGAAUCCCGCAUAUAUGCUGAUAAAGCGAAAGAUUUAAAUCGUCAGAGAAAACUUGGAUAGUAUAGGCAUGGAAAGGUGUGAUACAUAAUCAUUGAACACAUUCAAUUCUUGCCAGUUGCAUUACUUUCACUAGGAUUAGUUGUUGGCAGGACCACUUGUGUUUAGGCUAGGACAAAUCAAUAUGAUUGCAAAGACUCACUCCUUGUUCUUAAACCCAGACAGGGAUGAAAAUAAGCAACCGCUCUGAUACGGAAAUGGGCUCCUGUUGCUAUUGUCAUUGGAGUUGUUAGUCUCCUCUUCUGGGCCAAAAAUAAGAUUUGGUGAUGGUGCCAUCAAAUGUACAGCUCAGCAAAGAUGUUGGUCCAGUGGUGUUCGUUUUCCUUGGACGAUUUGCGACUUGAGCCAUGUCAGUUUGAUAACAUAAAACAGAGGACGUGAACCACGAUGACCCAAUGUCACUACAUGAGAAAUGAUAUUAAUAUGAAU